rnacentral:rRNA from 1 species
UACGUAGGGUGCAAGCGUUGUCCGGAAUUAUUGGGCGUAAAGAGCUCGUAGGCGGUUCGUCGCGUCGGCUGUGAAAACCUGAGGCUCAACCUCGGGCCUGCAGUCGAUACGGGCAAACUAGAGUACUGCAGGGGAGACUGGAAUUCCUGGUGUAGCGGUGAAAUGCGCAGAUAUCAGGAGGAACACCGGUGGCGAAGGCGGGUCUCUGGGCAGUAACUGACGCUGAGGAGCGAAAGCGUGGGGAGCGAACAGG